CUGGGCGUAAAGCGCAUGCAGGCGGUUUGUUAAGUCAGAUGUGAAAGCCCGGGGCUCAACCUCGGAACCGCAUUUGAAACUGGCAGGCUAGAGUCUUGUAGAGGGGGGUAGAAUUUCAGGUGUAGCGGUGAAAUGCGUAGAGAUCUGAAGGAAUACCAGUGGCGAAGGCGGCCCCCUGGACAAAGACUGACGCUCAGAUGCGAAAGCGUGGGUAGCAAACAGGAUUAGAUACCCUGGUAGUCCACGCCGUAAACGCUGUCUACUUGGAGGUUGAGGUUUUAGACUUUGGCUUUCGGCGCUAACGCAUUAAGUAGACCGCCUGGGGAGUACGGCCGCAAGGUUAAAACUCAAAUGAAUUGACGGGGGCCCGCACAAGCGGUGGAGCAUGUGGUUUAAUUCGAUGCAACGCGAAGAACCUUACCUACUCUUGACAUCCAGCGAAGCCUUUAGAGAUAGAGGCGUGCCUUCGGGAGCGCUGAGACAGGUGCUGCAUGGCUGUCGUCAGCUCGUGUUGUGAAAUGUUGGGUUAAGUCCCGCAACGAGCGCAACCCUUAUCCUUGUUUGCCAGCACAUAAUGGUGGGAACUCCAGGGAGACUGCCGGUGAUAAACCGGAGGAAGGUGGGGACGACGUCAAGUCAUCAUGGCCCUUACGAGUAGGGCUACACACGUGCUACAAUGGCAGAUACAGAGGGCAGCGAGACAGCGAUGUUUAGCGAAUCCCUUAAAGUUUGUCGUAGUCCGGAUUGGAGUCUGCAACUCGACUCCAUGAAGUCGGAAUCGCUAGUAAUCGUGGAUCAGAAUUGCCCACGGGUGAAUACGUUCCCCGGGGCCCUUUG
rnacentral:rRNA from 1 species